CCUACGGGAGGCAGCAGUAGGGAAUAUUGCUCAAUGGGGGAAACCCUGAAGCAGCAACGCCGCGUGAGGGAUGAAGGUUUUCGGUAUGUAAACCCCUUUUGGUAGGGAAGAAAAUGACGGUAUCUAACGAAUAAGCACCGGCUAACUACGUGCCAGCAGCCGCGGUAAUACGGAGGGUGCAAGCGUUACUCGGAAUCACUGGGCGUAAAGAGCGCGUAGGCGGGAUAGCAAGUCAGAUGUGAAAUCCUAUGGCUUAACCAUAGAACUGCAUUUGAAACUGUUAGUCUAGAGUAUGGGAGAGGUAGGUGGAAUUCUUGGUGUAGCGGUAAAAUGCGUAGAUAUCAAGAGGAACACUCAUUGCGAAGGCGACCUACUAGAACAUAACUGACGCUGAGGCGCGAAAGCGUGGGGAGCAAACAGGAUUAGAUACCCUAGUAGUC
rnacentral:rRNA from 1 species